rnacentral:rRNA from 1 species
GUAACAAGGUUUCCGUAGGUGAACCUGCGGAAGGAUCAUUAGUGAAUUAUAGGACGUCCAAUUUAACUUGGAGUCCGAACUCUCACUUUCUAACCCUGUGCAUUUGUUUUGGUUAGUAGGAUGCUUGCGUCUGAACACCUCUUCAUUUUACAAACACUAAGUAUAAGAAUGUUUAAAUUUUAUAAUCAAAUAAAACUUUCAACAACGGAUCUCUUGGCUCUCGCAUCGAUGAAGAACGCAGCGAAAUGUGAUAAGUAAUGUGAAUUGCAGAAUUCAGUGAAUCAUCGAAUCUUUGAACGCAUCUUGCGCUCCCUGGUAUUCCGGGGAGCAUGUCUGUUUGAGUGUCAUGAAUUCUUCAACCCUUUCUUUUCCUAGUGAAUUGAGAGGUGUUUGGAUCCUGAGCGUUGCUCCUAACCCGAGCUCGUUCGUAAUACAUUAGCAUCCAUAUUCGAAUUUCGGAUUGACUUGGCGUAAUAGACUAUUCGCUGAGGAAUCUAACUUCGGUUAGAGCCGUUUUGAACUAGGAAGCUGCUAAUCUAGCUUAGUCUACCUUUAGAUUGAUCUCAAAUCAG